GGCCCUUCCUCUAGCUCAAUUACCCUUUAACAUAAACCAAACAAUCUACUAUAACACCUAACCAAAACAUUUUUUACACCUAGUAUAGGCGAUAGAAAAGCUACUUGACGCAAUAGAGACAUUUUUCGUACCGUAAGGGAAAGAUGAAAUAACAAUGAAAUACAUAAAAGCAAAAAAUAGCAAAGAUCAACCCUUGUACCUUUUGCAUCAUGAUUUAGCAAGAACAUCCAAGCACAAUGAAUUUAAGCUUGCUAUCCCGAAACCCAAGCGAGCUACUCACAAGCAGCUACCAUUGAGCAAAACCCGUCUCUGUGGCAAAAGAGUGGGAAGACUUGUUAGUAGAGGUGAAAAGCCAAUCGAGCUGGGUGAUAGCUGGUUGCUUGUAAAACGAAUCUUAGUUCACCUCUAACUCUCCCCCACCAGACACCCAUCUUAAACCUAAUGUGGAAAGUUAGAAGUAAUUUAAAGGAGGUACAGCCCCUUUAAAAAAGAAGACAAUCUCUACCAGAGGGUAAUUUUAUCCAUUACACCAAUACGUAGGCCCUAAAGCAGCCAUCAACAAAGAAUGCGUCAAAGCUCAAUUAACUCCAAAAAUCCAAAAACAUUACGAUCCCCUCGCCACUAACAAGCCAACCUAUAAUCAUAGGAGAAUUAAUGCUAAAAUGAGUAACUAGAAGCCCCUUCUCUUAAGCGCAAACUUACAUCAUACAUCAUUAACAGACUAGCUUAUACCACCACCUCAACAAGAACCAAUAUUAAACUACCCUGUUACCCCAACCCAGGAGCGCCUAUUAGAAAGAUUAAAAUCUGUAAAAGGAACUAGGCAAAUCUAGGGCUCGACUGUUUACCAAAAACAUAGCCUUCAGCUAACAGCAAGUAUUGAAGGUGAUGCCUGCCCAGUGACUCAUGUUCAACGGCCGCGGUAUCCUAACCGUGCAAAGGUAGCGCAAUCAAUUGUCCCAUAAAUCGAGACUUGUAUGAACGGCUAAACGAGGUCCUAACUGUCUCUUACAGAUAAUCAGUGAAAUUGAUCCUCUUGUGCAAAAGCAAGAAUAUAAACAUAAGACGAGAAGACCCUGUGGAACUUGAAAAUCAAGGACCAACGUAUCUAACUUUCAAACCUACAAGGCUAACAACACUUACAACAGCUGGUCCCUAUUUUUCGGUUGGGGCGACCUUGGAGAAAAAAAGAACCUCCAAAAAUAAGACCACACACCUUGACUAAGAACAACUCCUCAAAGUACUAAUAGUAACCAGACCCAAUACAAUUGAUUAAUGAACGAAGCUACCCCAGGGAUAACAGCGACUCUCCUUCAAGAGCCCAUAUCGACAAGGAGGUUUACGACCUCGAUGUUGGAUCAGGACAUCCUAAUGGUGUAGCAGCUAUUAAGGGUUCGUUUGUUCCAACGUUAACAGUCCUACGUGAUCUGAGUUCAGACCGGAGCAAUCCAGGUCGGUUUCUAUCUAUGCAACACUCUUCCCCAGUACGAAAGGACCGGAAAAGUAAGGCCCAUACCAACCAGCACGCCUUCUUUCUAAUUAGUGAAAUCAACUUAACUAACAAGAACCUCUCCCCAUCAUCCCCUAGAAAAGGGCUA
rnacentral:rRNA from 1 species